UGGAGCGACAAUUAAGGGGGGAUGAGAACCACCGACCGGGGUUCGACAACUGGCGCAGCCAGUUGGACAGACGACGAGCUUGCGAGGAGACUGCCCGAAGGGCGAGCGCAGCGAGUCAAUCCCCCCCUCACCGCCG
rnacentral:sRNA from 1 species